rnacentral:tRNA from 1 species
GGGAUUGUGGCUUCGUGGUAAAGCGCUUGCCUAGUAUGCAUGAAGCCCUGGGUUCAGUUCCUCAGCACCCCA